AACGAACGCUGGCGGCAUGCCUAACACAUGCAAGUCGAACGAGACCUUCGGGUCUAGUGGCGCACGGGUGCGUAACGCGUGGGAACCUGCCCUUAGGUUCGGAAUAACUCCCCGAAAGGGGUGCUAAUACCGGAUAAUGUCUUCGGACCAAAGAUUUAUCGCCUUUGGAUGGGCCCGCGUUGGAUUAGCUAGUUGGUAGGGUAAAAGCCUACCAAGGCGACGAUCCAUAGCUGGUCUGAGAGGAUGAUCAGCCACACUGGGACUGAGGCACGGCCCAGACUCCUACGGGAGGCAGCAGUGGGGAAUAGUGGACAAUGGGCGAAAGCCUGAUCCAGCAAUGCCGCGUGAGUGAUGAAGGCCUUAGGGUUGUAAAGCUCUUUUACCCGGGAGGAUAAUGACAGUACCGGGAGAAUAAGCGCCGGCUAACUCCGUG
rnacentral:rRNA from 1 species